GCAGUAAGAUGAGAUAGUAUUGACAGAUUGGAAUCUAUGUUGGAGAUGAAAACCGCGUGCUGGUAAAAUGGUUUAUGCAAGAGAGUCUGAAUCCCCAAAACAAUCAUAACAGAUCUGAAAUCUCGAUGCGAAUGGUUAGUUAGUUAGUUAGUUAGUUAUGGUUCGGGCUUCGUCGGUGAAGGUUGGGUCGGCCAAGCUCGUUGUUAUCUGCGUCGGCCUCUUAGGUUUCGCCCUCGUCGCCAACUUCCUUUGGCUCUCUUCUUCUGCUUCUUCUUCUUCCUCCUCCUCCCAUUUCAUUGUUCCCACCACCACCAACAUUACUAUAGCAAAGCACAACAAUGAUGCUGCUUCUUCUUUUGGAGGAGAAGGAAGAGUGCUGGCCGCGGCUUACGCCGAUUUGCCAGCUCCUCAAUUGAAGUGGCAGAAGAUGGCUUCCGCUCCUGUUCCUCGUCUCGACGGCGCCGCUAUUCAGAUCAACGAUCUUCUCUUCGUCUUCGCUGGCUACGGCACCAUUGAUCUUGUACAUUCACAUGUUGAUGUGUAUAAUUUUACCACGAAUACUUGGGGAGAAAGUUUUGCCAUGCCAAAAGAAAUGGCACACUCACAUUUGGGGAUGGUGACGGAUGGAAGAUACAUAUAUAUUGUUACUGGACAGUAUGGACCGCAGUGUAGAGGUCCUACGGCUCAUACAUUUGUGCUGGACACUAAAACAAGGAAAUGGAGGGAUAUGCCUCCCUUGCCUGUCCCUAGAUAUGCGCCAGCAACUCAACUUUGGAGGGGUAGACUGCAUGUGAUGGGUGGCAGUAAGGAAAAUCGACAUACACCUGGAUUAGAACAUUGGAGUCUUGCUGUGAAGGAUGGAAAACCGUUAGAAAAAGAAUGGAGAAGUGAGAUACCCAUUCCUCGUGGAGGCCCUCACAGGUCUUGUGUUGUGGUUGAUGACCGGCUUUAUGUUAUUGGUGGUCAAGAAGGUGAUUUUAUGGCCAAACCAGGGUCACCUAUUUUUAAGUGCUCACGCAGGCUAGAGGUAGUCUAUGGUGAUGUUUACAUGUUGGAUGAUGAGAUGAAAUGGAAAACGUUACCAUCAAUGCCAAAACCAAACUCGCAUAUUGAAUUUGCUUGGGUGGUUGUAAACAACUCCAUUGUCAUUUCUGGAGGCACAACAGAGAAGCACCCUGUAACCAAGAAGAUGGUUUUAAAUGGAGAAGUAUUCCAAUUUAAUUUGAAUACUUUGAAGUGGUCAGUGAUUGGGAAAUUGCCAUUCCGAGUGAAAACCACUCUAGUUGGAUUUUGGAAUGGUUAUUUGUACUUCACCUCAGGACAGAGAGAUAAAGGACCUGAUGAUCCAUCACCGAAGAAAGUCAUUGGAGAGAUGUAUAGAACAAAAUUAAAAUUAAAUGUGUGAUCACUUGCUGGGGAAACCUUUAGUAUCCUCUUACUGAUCACAAAUUGCAGCAGAAGCUGAGAGCCCCAAAAUAUUACACACAUUCUUUGUCACUGGAAUAUUCAUUGUUGUAAUUCACCUAGAAAGUAACUGUAAUUCAUUCAACAAUAUAGUUUUUAAGAGUCCUAUUUUUUUUUUUAAUUCAGAAUUUUUACCUUUUCGGCUUUUGUAUACCUUUCACUUAUGUAGUAUAGUUUUGAGUUUAAAGACACCGAACAUUCAAGUAAAUAUUACCGAGACACCUAUUUGAAACCUUUACUUAUAAGGGAAGUUAUGGAGUAUUACCUAACUAAAAUCUCAGAUUAGUGCAUGAUCUUAUAAAUCAAUGUAAUUUACAC